CACUGCGGGUUUUCUUUGACCUACUUAGUCGGGCUUAGGCGGAGCGGGAAAAUUUCACACGUUAUGAAAUAACGUUAUUCCAAGGGCAAGAUAUAUUUAUGAGUUACCAUAAAAGUUUGAUCUGAAACAUUAGGAGAUUCCACGAUUCCGGAAUCUAUUUAACUGCAUUCAAAGACAUUCUUGAUGACAAAAGGUUCACACACAGUUUGACAGCUCUUGUACAGUGUCAUGUUUCUCUGUAGUGGCCUGCUUGAUGUGGUCAGUUUGGGAUGAUAUGUAUUGGACCCAAGGUGGAGCAGUGGUCAUCACCCACUGUCACCCAUCACCAUCACCCAUCACCAUGUCAAAUAUUCUUCUUGCAGCUCCAGUCUCCAUACAACAUGGUGUCUUCUAGGUGAACUGACUUUACCUGGCUGAACAUGGGGGACAUGUAUUUUAUAAGAAGCAGACAUAAAAAGACGGCAACAGAAACAUCUUCAUCUCACCCAGUUGUGGAAGACACGGGACGUGGCACGUUUUAGGAUGAAUGAACAGCCAGAGACAGGACAGCCAUUGUAAGCAGCAAAUACACUUCUGGAAUUGUGUAAAGAGCUGCUGGCAGACCAAGAGGUCAGUUUUAUACUGAGUGAGAGAGAGUGCUGCCAGAACCACCCAGAACAAGACUUCCAAACACAGCAGAUCCUGUGGAGCCAGUUAUAUGGAACAGUACAAUUACACAACAAAUGUGGGUUCCAGGUAACACAAAGAAUCAAUUUCCCCCAUAUACAUGGAAACUAUAGAGGCAGGGUAUAUAAAGCAAGGAGAGAUUGUGUUAGACAAUACUCUAUCACUGAAGACAAAUAGACACAAUGGAAAUGUUUAAAAGUGAGUUGAUAUUUCAGCUCAGUUGUGAUGUGUUAUAAUAAUUUUCCUCAUAUGCAUGGAAACUGUUACAGUACUAGUAGAGGUAGUAUAUACAGUGAGAUUGUGGUAGACAAUAUGCCAUAGCUGAAGAGACCAAGAGGUCAUUGAAAAUGUUUAGAUGUGAAUUUAUAUUUCAGGUCAGAUAUGAUGUGUUAUAAAUGGUCUCUGUUAUUGCGAGUGCAUUAAGUUAUAAUUGCAAAUUUUAUCACAUAUUUAUUAUAUACAGACACUCAGUCUGUCUAUAUUCUGAUCACUGUGUCUGUCCAGUGUCAUUGCCAUAGUCAGCACUUUGUGACACAUCUGUUGUUUGCCCUAAAACUGAUAAACUGUAUUUUUGUUUUGAAUUCCUCUAGAAAAUCAGCAUGAUUGGAUUAUUUUAUGAUAUUGUUAGCAGUUUGAUAUGAUGCUACAGUAUUUCCUGAGUAUAUCAAAUUAAAGCAGCAAUGUAAAUGUGUUUGUGCAUCAGGAGUGGUUUUAGUGUAUCUGCCUGUUUCAAUGUGGAGUUUGUGUGAAAACAACUAAGGCUUUUUCUUUUUUCAUCAUCUUGAACAACGUCCAGAUAUUUUUUCUUUUUUAAAUGUAUUUUUGAAUUGGCAGUAGAUGCUGGAUUUAGAUUUGUCCACAAGUUAACUGUGCAAGUUUUGUACGAAGCCACUGAUGAUGUGGAAGGAAUUUUUUGUGAGGAUUCUGUUUUAACCAUACAUCUCCAAAUCCGUUUCGAAUAGAGAAGUUAUCAUCUUUCAGAUUUGACAAGCUUUUUGUUGAGAGUAAUUUGUAAUAUUGUAAUUCAUCUGUAGGUUUGCUUGUUUAAGUAGGUUGUUAUCAUCCAAGUGUUAUAUUUUAAGCCAAAAUUUUAUUAAUUGUAUUUUAUACUUUAUGUGAGCAAGAAUUCUUCCAGUCUCUCCUCUGCCUGCAUACUUUGAUGAUAAAAGUUGUUUACAAAACCUGAGGUUAAGUUUUUACAAUUUUUACUGUUAGAGUAGUAUAGCCUCAUAACUCUGAUCUGUAUGUUCAUGACUCCAUAAUGCCCCAGCUUUGGACAGAUGUUAUUAAGUCUGUAAUUUUCAUUGUUUCUUGAGCACAAACAUUUGGUUUUAUGGUCUCAUUGCCUGAGUAAAAUGGUCACGGGAUAUUUUAUUUGAUUUUGAAA
rnacentral:lncRNA from 1 species